AAAACUUCAAUGAGGUAAACUUCCAGUCAAGAUGGCAGCGUAGGCAGACACAGCAUGCCUCUUCCCACAACCUCAACAAAAUCACAACUAAAAUAUAGAAUCACCAUCACUCAGAGCCGUCAGAAAUCAAGAUGAAUGGGAGUCAUCUGACAACUAUGGAAUUAAAGAAAUCACAUCCAUCCAGACUAGUAGAAGAACUG